CAGGUAUCCGGACACAUCAGUCAUUUAAUUUGUUGUUGGUCGCGAGGAUACGUGAAAUUUUACAGAAUUGAAUAAGGUAAGGAAGGUAUUUCCUACACGCUUUACACACACAAAUAGUAAAACCCUAUGGCUAUGCUAUGGUAGUUUGUUAUAUUUAAGGAUAUCACGACUUUUCGUGAGGCGCUAUUAGUAAGUGGGUCUUACGCAAGCGGCAAGCCGGAGUCAUGUUUAUUCGUAUUGUCAUUUUGGACUAUGAAUUAAAUUGCAAUUUCGAAAUUCCUUCACAUCGCUUAGAAAAUCCACAUAGAAGAUUACCAGCAGCGAGGGUCUUGGUCAGUCUGGUCUAGUUGAAUAAUCAAUGUCCCAUGACUAAAUCAAUUUAUAUUUGUUAAAAUUGUAUUAAUGUCUUGUAUGCUAGCCAGAGGUUCGUAUUAAGAAACCUCUUCAUUGUUGUUGCAGUUAAUGAAAUAUAUACAGGAAGUAAGCUUUAUAAUAUUGAAUGUUGGGGCAAUACCAGUGGCCAAUACUUGUAUUAGUACAAAAAUUUAAGAAAUAUUAUAUGAUACAUGGUGAACAAUUAGCGUUUGACUUAAAAAAAGCAUUUGACUGUGUUGAUACUUUCUCCCUGGUAGUUCGUACUCGACCUUUCACCCUCUCAGGCUCUGUCAUUCUCGCACCGCAAUCAGUGCUGUGGAACACCUGCGGCCCAGGUCUACCACAUUUUCUCGGCUCUCUUCUCAGGUUAGGUCAUUUUCGGGCUAGCAUUCAGUAAUAAUGUAAUUCAGUAAUGGGAAAAAGCGCUAAAAUUAAUUAAAAAUAGAAGGCCGAGAUCUAGGCUCCAUGGAACUCCUAUAGUCUCGGUAGUCCUGUUCAGGUAACCAAAAGUUGUUUCGGCGCUGUUUACAACAUUGGACUGGGGGGGGGGGUGACGAAAUUUAUUUAGUAAUGUGAUUUGAAACUUCAAUGUGAUUUGAAACUUCAAUGAUAUUGGGACGACCAUUUCCUUUUUCUUGCAGUACUAAUCAAUUCUAAAACCAAAAAAUCUCUAGAGCAGCAAUGAGGGUUCUUUGGACAAUUUUGUGGAUCUUAUUAUUACUCUUCAUUGGUUGGCCAAUAGGAUUCUUUUGUGCUGGAUGGUAUGUUUGUUUAUCGCCAUUCGAGUCGUGCCUCCUCAUUUGUAAAGACAUCACAGAAUUUUUAAUGAAAGGAGUACAGCUACCUUUGGAAAUAGCCCGCCAUGCAGUAGUCGGGAAAGAUUCCUGGUAAUUUAGUCGUUGAAAAUGACAGAAUGUUUUUUGAAAAGUACUGGAUGUGAUACCAUUUCGUUAAUAUAACUAAGAACCAUGUAUAUCGUAAAUAAAUUAAGUAAAAUCGUAAACUUUACUGAUUGACAAAACGGGGGAUGUCAUAGCGCGCUUUACCUCUCUACACCGAACUUACUUGAAGUUUCCCGAACUUGAGCGCGAAGAGAACGCGAGGAGAGUGCUGGGAAGAUUGAAUACAUCAUUAACUCUUGCUCCACCAGAGACUUCGUGUAAACUGCUCGGUGGAUGAGAGGCAGCUUGUCAUUUGCCAGUUAUUCCGCUCCCACAAAACCAAUCAAAGCGACUUUUGCCUUUUAAUCUUGUAGAUGUUCUAGAUAGACUACUUUAAAUACAUGGUGAUUAGUGUGAUUGGUAUACUAGAUAUACCUUGUUCUAACUAAAAACGGACACAAUUGCUCACUCAGCUGGCGACAAAGACAUGCAACUCUGCCACAUCACUAAAAUGGGCCGAAGUGUUUGCCAAGUUAUGCGCAUGACGUUUUGAUGGCGUCACCUGUAGUAGACUGAUUAAAAUUUUGUGCAACAAUUUAACUAGACAUUCUUCAUUUUUUUGUUUUGAAAGUAUAAUUUCUGGCGUAG